rnacentral:lncRNA from 1 species
AAAACAAAAUCGGGGUAACAAACUAAAACCGAGGGAAACGCAUUAAAUAUAAGAAGAGAACAACGACAUAACACCGAAACGUAACACACACAGAAACGGACCAAGCAACAGACAAAACACCACGAGAAUAACAAAUAUAACAAGAAAACCAAAUACAUGAAUUUGGGAUAGACAAGUACCGUGCCACGUCUGAUCUCAAUAUCUCAAAAAUAAGAGAAAACACAAACGACUCAACGUUAAAAUGCAACACACACAGAAACGAACAAUAAUAUAACAAUGGCCAUCUUCCUGACUUGGUACAGGACACUUUUAAAGGGGAAUAAAAGUGGUGGGUUGAACCUGGUUUUGUGGCAUGCCAAACCUCGCACUUUAAUGGCAAUGUUAAAUAUAACAUACUAAAACUGACGGAAACGCAUAAAUAUAAGAGGAGAACAACGACACAACACUACAAUGUAACUAACACACACAGAAACGAACCAAGCAUCAGACAAAAUCCCACGAGAAUAACAAAUAUAACAUCCAUGAAUUUGGGAUAGACAAGUACCGUGACACGUCUUAUCGCAAUGUCAAUUUACACUCAAAAAUAAGAGAAAAC